GAUGAACGCUAGCGGCAGGCUUAAUACAUGCAAGUCGAGGGGCAGCAGGUUUGUAGCAAUACAGAUGCUGGCGACCGGCAAACGGGUGCGGAACACGUACAGAACCUUCCUUCGAGCGGGGAAUAGCCCAGAGAAAUUUGGAUUAAUACCCCAUAGCAUUAUGGAGUGGCAUCACUUUAUAAUUAAAGAUUAUCACUUGAAGAUGGCUGUGCGGCUGAUUAGAUAGUUGGUGAGGUAACGGACUCACCAAGUCUACGAUCAGUAACUGGUGGUGAGAGCACGACCAGUCACACGGGC
rnacentral:rRNA from 1 species